GACGAACGCUGGCGGCGCGCCUAACACAUGCAAGUCGAACGAGCGAGAGAGAGCUUGCUUUCUCAAGCGAGUGGCGAACGGGUGAGUAACGCGUGAGGAACCUGCCUCAAAGAGGGGGACAACAGUUGGAAACGACUGCUAAUACCGCAUAAGCCCACAGGUCGGCAUCGACCAGAGGGAAAGGGAGCAAUCCGCUUUGAGAUGGCCUCGCGUCCGAUUAGCUAGUUGGUGAGGUAACGGCCCACCAAGGCAACGAUCGGUAGCCGGACUGAGAGGUUGAACGGCAACAUUGGGACUGAGACACGGCCCAGACUCCUACGGGAGGCAGCAGUGGGGAAUAUUGCACAAUGGGGGAAACCCUGAUGCAGCGACGCCGCGUGGAGGAAGAAGGUCUUCGGAUUGUAAACUCCUGUUGUUGAGGAAGAUAAUGACGGUACUCAACAAGGAAGUGACGGCUAACUACGUG
rnacentral:rRNA from 1 species